AAUCUUUUUUCAGAGCCACCACAUGCAUCUCUGGCAUGGAGGCGUGAAUCUAGUUCACAAACCAGAAACCUCUCUAAAUAGAGACUUAACCACUUCCUCAGUUAUGACCAAGGCCAUACUGCAGUAACCAGAUACCCUUCCACUGACGUAUGUAGCCAAAUCAUGUUGAUCACCAUUCUGGCUAUGUCCCUCGGAAGGAGCACAAGUUUAAUGAAACCAAAAACUACACAUGCAGUGAGAAGGAUGUCAUUUCAAGCCUCAAUCACAUUCGUGGAAAUAUUCCUCCUGUGUCUGCCAGCUAUCUUAACUGGCGGCGAUCCUACUGACCGCGACCAGCACAAUUCGUACCCGGUUUUGACCAACGCUCCCCCAGCGUUACGCCUGGACGCUCCAGAUCAAUCUCGGACUCUCUCUCCCGCACGUUGCUCCUCUGCAUGCUCAUAUUGUCUCCUACCCAGGUGUGCAAAGUUGGUAUUCUGUGACCUACUCUGACCCAAGAGUCUGUGGUAUUAAAGGCGCAUCAGUGGUCCUGCGCUGUAGAUAUGGCUAUUCUUGGAUUGGUCACUAUAUCGGAGGAGAGUGGUGCAAAGAGAAUAAAGGGAGAUUCAGAGAAUACAAUUACCCUAAUUAUCCUGACUGCAGUCUGGUCAUAGACAAACUAUCAGGUGAUCACGCAGGUGUUUAUCAGUUUUGGUUUUACACAACCCUACACAGGAGCUGGAUGACAGUCGGUUCUGGUAUCACUCUCUCAGUCACAGACCUGCAGGUGAACGCUGUUGUAGGGAAUCAGAAUCAGACUAAAGUGACCUGCAGCACCUGCUGCAGCUUGGACUCUCACCAUCAGUAUGUCUGGUACAGGAAUGGACAGAUUCUACAAGGCAAAACCACAGCAUCUAUACAACUAAGCUCAACCAGACCCUCUGAAGCAGCUUAUUACUGUCAGAGUGACAUGAGGCUCACCACUCCCUUGCAAUCUGUGUUCCAGAAAAACAUUGCUGGGCUGUGAAGUGCUUAUCUAACAGUGAAGGAGAGUGGGCUCUGCAGGUAACCGUGACACCUGAAACAGUAACAGAGGGAGAAGAAGUGACACUGACCUGCAGCACUUGCAAUCUGAGCAACAACCUCAGCAUCAUCUGGUACAAGAACAGGCAGCCUGUGUCUAACAACACAACAACCAGAGACAACAAGCUGCAUCUAAACCCAGUCAGCAGUGAGGAUGCAGGCAGUUACUCCUGUGCUGUAAAAGGAGAUGAGUCUCUCUUCAACCGCUGUCUUUCUCAAUGUCAGAUAUGUACCAAGGAAUGUUUCAGUGUCCAUCAGAGCCUCUGGCAAAAUACAGAAUGGAACUUAAGUGACUCUGACCUGCAGCAGUGAUGCCAACCCACCAGUGCACACCUACACAUGAAGAGUGGAGCUGAAUCUCUUGCUAGGGGCACAGGGGAGAGUAUCAGCUUCACUGUGACCUCUGAAACCAGUGGACUUUACCACUGUGAGGCACAGAAUGAAGUGAGCUCAACAAACUCCAGUCAAACUACAGUGCAAAUUGUGACAGAAGAUGAACACGUUGCUGCCAUGAUGUUCCAGGCUGGAAUCAUACUUUUUGUCAUUCUUACAAUCAUGCUGGUGUUUGCAACUCUGUGGUUGAGAAAAAAGAAGAAAAUUCAGUCAUCUUCAAGUCCAUAUACCUUAGAG